GACGAACGCUGGCGGCGUGCCUAAUACAUGCAAGUCGAACGAGAGCGACCGGUGCUUGCACUGGUCAAUCUAGUGGCGAACGGGUGAGUAACACGUGGGUAACCUGCCCAUCAGAGGGGGAUAACAUUCGGAAACGGAUGCUAAAACCGCAUAGGUCUUCGAACCGCAUGGUUUGAAGAGGAAAAGAGGCGCAAGCUUCUGCUGAUGGAUGGACCCGUGGUGCAUUAGCUAGUUGGUGAGGUAACGGCUCACCAAGGCCGUGAUGCAUAGCCGACCUGAGAGGGUGAUCGGCCACAUUGGGACUGAGACACGGCCCAAACUCCUACGGGAGGCAGCAGUAGGGAAUCUUCCGCAAUGGACGCAAGUCUGACGGAGCAACGCCGCGUGAGUGAAGAAGGUUUUCGGAUCGUAAAACUCUGUUGUUAGAGAAGAACAAGUGCUAGAGUAACUGUUAGCGCCUUGACGGUAUCUAACCAGAAAGCCACGGCUAACUACGUG
rnacentral:rRNA from 1 species